UACGUAGGGACCAAGCGUUGUUCGGAUUUACUGGGCGUAAAGGGCGCGUAGGCGGCAUGACAAGUCACUUGUGAAAUCUCCGGGCUUAACUCGGAACGGCCAAGUGAUACUGUUGAGCUAGAGUGCAGAAGGGGCAAUCGGAAUUCUUGGUGUAGCGGUGAAAUGCGUAGAUAUCAAGAGGAACACCUGAGGUGAAGACGGGUUGCUGGGCUGACACUGACGCUGAGGCGCGAAAGCCCAGGGGAGCAAACGGGG
rnacentral:rRNA from 1 species